GAGAGAGUGAGGAGCGAAAGGGGAAAGGAGAAACGCCUCGCACCGAGAAGAGGGGCGAUGGAAACGGGGAAAAGUACCUGAAUUGCAGUGCUGAGAAAUCAUCAAGGGUAUCCUGCCUGGCAUUCCGACCUGAAGGGCCCUGCGUGAGGCGGAGCACCCUCCCCAGGAGAAGAGAGCUCAGCUCGGCCUUUAACUGAUCCGACCCUCCUACCGCUCACCUCCUCUUCAUCUUUCGAAUAAAGGAACCACCCCCUCAUCCCGGGGGAUCCCGACAUCAGUCUCCCAGCUCUCUCACACCUCCAUCCUCUC